GUGCCAGCCGCCGCGGUAAUACGGAGGGAGCUAGCGUUGUUCGGAAUUACUGGGCGUAAAGCGCACGUAGGCGGCUAUUCAAGUCAGAGGUGAAAGCCCGGGGCUCAACCCCGGAACUGCCUUUGAAACUAGAUAGCUUGAAUCUUGGAGAGGCGAGUGGAAUUCCGAGUGUAGAGGUGAAAUUCGUAGAUAUUCGGAAGAACACCAGUGGCGAAGGCGACUCGCUGGACAAGUAUUGACGCUGAGGUGCGAAAGCGUGGGGAGCAAACAGGAUUAGAAACCCGUGUAGUCC
rnacentral:rRNA from 1 species